UAAAUUGAAUCUUUUGUGAUUUGUAAAUAAAAAUAGGAGGGCGAUUUUUGCCAAGUGGAUCAAGGCAGUG
rnacentral:tRNA from 1 species